rnacentral:snRNA from 1 species
GGAUGUGAGGGCAAUCUGGCUGUGACAUCUGUCACCCCAUUGAUCACUAGGGUUGAUUUGGCUGAUCUGCUUGGCUAGGCGCAUGUCCUCUUCCUCCCUCACUGUUCCAUGUGCAUCCCUCCCAAAGCUGCAUGCCAGGUCCAAGAGGAUAAGCUUGGACUGGUCUUCGGUCUAGGGUAUAUAAGUAACUGAGCUCCCCUUCUAGAACUCCAAACAAGCUCUCAAGAAUAUUUUUGCUAACAAAUGACAGUCCCUGUUAUGUUUCCCAGCUUCUAGCGCCCACCUACAUUUUUAGA